UUGUGCCCUUGAGGCGUGGCUUCCGGAGCUAACGCGUUAAGUCGACCGCCUGGGGAGUACGGCCGCAAGGUUAAAACUCAAAUGAAUUGACGGGGGCCCGCACAAGCGGUGGAGCAUGUGGUUUAAUUCGAUGCAACGCGAAGAACCUUACCUGGUCUUGACAUCCACAGAACUUUCCAGAGAUGGAUUGGUGCCUUCGGGAACUGUGAGACAGGUGCUGCAUGGCUGUCGUCAGCUCGUGUUGUGAAAUGUUGGGUUAAGUCCCGCAACGAGCGCAACCCUUAUCCUUUGUUGCCAGCGGUCCGGCCGGGAACUCAAAGGAGACUGCCAGUGAUAAACUGGAGGAAGGUGGGGAUGACGUCAAGUCAUCAUGGCCCUUACGACCAGGGCUACACACGUGCUACAAUGGCGCAUACAAAGAGAAGCGACCUCGCGAGAGCAAGCGGACCUCAUAAAGUGCGUCGUAGUCCGGAUUGGAGUCUGCAACUCGACUCCAUGAAGUCGGAAUCGCUAGUAAUCGUGGAUCAGAAUGCCACGGUGAAUACGUUCCCGGGCCUUGUACACACCGCCCGUCACACCAUGGGAGUGGGUUGCAAAAGAAGUAGGUAGCUUAACCUUCGGGAGGGCGCUUACC
rnacentral:rRNA from 1 species